UUAUAAAAACAUACUAUUAUAUACAUAUAUACAUAGUGUGGGUUGUUCCACCCCCACCCCCACACACAAUAUAAAAUUCUGGCUACGCCAGUACUGGGAUGCUACACUUCCAGUUUUAAAUUUAGGUUUUCAUUAAUAAAUGAUAAAUCGGUUAUCUACGUUACAUUGAUUGAGCAUAUAUACAUUUAUUAUAUACAUAGCUAUGAAAUAUAUAGAUGUACAGAAACCAGUGGUAGCGACCGCAGCCGCCGCUAGGGGCGCAGCUGCGCCCAUAUUCCGAAAUGUCACGAGUUUGGUUCACAAUUGGUAGUGUUGUUCAAGGCCAGAAUACGCUUAUUUUGAUGACGAUUUUGCACGUUUUUGUUGUUGUUAUGACAAGUACACACCUUCCGAUUGAUGUAUAUCCUGUUUCUGAAGUUGAACGACUACAAAAAGACUUUUUUUGAGGCAAGUGAAACUUUGAAUACGUCAUAUUUUGCCCCAAAAAGGGCGAUUUCACUGAGAUAUUGAUAGAUAUAUAUAGUAAUAUAAUAAAACAGCAUAAAAAUAAUUUUUUGGUAAUUUAAAAAAAAAAGCAAUUUAGUUUAAUUCGACAUCGAAAAUAUUUCAAGGGAGGUAACUCUGACCCACUGACCCGCAAAAGCGAACUAUAGAACUUCACAGCAGGGACACAUUUUGAUAAAAUUAAACGAAAUGUGUAGUCUCUGUGCGUCUAUGGAGAAACCUGAAAUGGAAACGGAGUGGGAGAGUACACGUGGUUAUGAGACAACUUUCAGUAGAUUCAAUUAUACUUCAAGCUUGAUGCUGUUAUGUUUUCUGUUUCCAACUGUGACAGAACCUGGAACAGAAAUGAAGUGUGUGACAAUAAUUCAUAGACAAAUUUAGACUAAUACUCUUUCAUGGAUGCUAAAUUUGGUAGAUCUAGCCAUAAAUGUUUUAUUAUAAUUCAAAGUGGUAUAUAGUUAUAUUUAUAAUAAUUCAUUGUUUGAAUUUGUUUUUAUAAAGCACUUUAUUGAACUAAAAUAAUCAUAGCUGCAUUUAGUAAAUUAUUUAGCACACGUGUGACUGCUGUCUCAUGCCUUAAGUGUUUCAGCUGCUAAAAUAUGUUUUGGGGAUAUUUUUUCUGGAUAGAAAUUUACCUUUCUGAUAUUGUACGAGUGUUUGGACAUUCCUUUCAAAGGUGAAAUAUGGCUACUUAUAUUGCUUUGUUUCUAAUAAUGAUAUUGAAGGUGUAAAGUAUGUAAAUAUUUUUGUAAGAAAUUGAUUAAACAUAUUGGCCAAUCAUU